rnacentral:rRNA from 1 species
GGCGAACGCUGGCGGCGUGCCUAAUACAUGCAAGUCGAACGCUUCUUUCCUCCCGAGUGCUUGCGCUCGAUUGGCGAGCGGAGUGGCGGACGGGUGGGUAACACGUCGUUAACCUACGCAUCAGUGAGGGAUAACACUUGGAAACAGGUUCUAAUACCGCAUAGCAGUGUAUGCCGCAUGGCAUAAGAGUGGAAGGCGCUUUCGGGUGUCGCUGAUGGCUGGACCCGGGGUGCAUCAGCUAGUUGGUGAGGUAACGGCUCACUAGGGCGGCGAUGCAUAGCCGAAGUGAUAGGGUGAUCGGCCACACUGGGAGUGAGACACGGCCAAGACGCCUACGGGAGGCAGCAGUAGGGAAUGGUAGGCAAUGGAGGAAAGUCUGACAGAGCAGCGCCGAGUGAGUGAAGAAGGCGUUCGGAUCGUAAAACCGUGUUGUUGGAGAAGAACAAGUAUGUUAGUAACUGAACGGUGCGUGACGGUAACUAAUCAGGAAGCAACGGCUAACUACGUG